GAUGAACGCUGGCGGCGUGCUUAACACAUGCAAGUCGAACGGUGAAGCAGAGCUUGCUCUGUGGAUCAGUUGCGAACGGGUGAGUAACACAUGAGCAACCUGCCCCUGACUCUGGGUUAAGCGCUGGAAACGGCGUCGAAUACAGGAUAGGAGCUGUAAUCGCAUGGUUAGCUGAUUGGAAGAAUUGGGGGUCUGGGAUGGUCUCACGUCCUAUCAGCUUGUUGUAGAGGUUAUGGCUGACCAAGGCGUCGACGGGUAGCCGGCCUGGGAGGGUGACCGGCCACACUGGGACUGCGACAGGGCCCAGAAUCCUACGGGAGGCAGCAGUGGGGAAUAUUGCGCAAUGGGCGAAAGCCUGAUGCAGCAACGCCGCGUGAGGGAUGACGGCCUUCGGGUUGUAAACCUCUUUUAGCAGGGAAGAAGAGAAAGUGACGGUACCUGCAGAGAAAGCGCCGGCUAACUACGUG
rnacentral:rRNA from 1 species